GUGAAAUACAAAUCGGACUAGGAUAUAGCUGGUUUUCUGCGAAAAUUGUUUUGGCAAAUUGUUUAUUUUUUUUCAUUCAUUCAUUCAAAGAAUGAAUGUAUAAUAAUAAUAAUAGUGGGUAUAGCACUGAAUACUUUGGGGGAGUAUUAUUAUAUUUAUCUCGGGUAUUUAAUCUCAAAAUAACUAUUUAUUUAUAGGUAAAUAAUCAGACUAUUUGCGAUAAGGUAGAUAGUCAAAAGGGAAACAGCCCAGAACAGUUAUUAAAGCUCCCCAAUU
rnacentral:rRNA from 1 species